GACGAACGCUGGCGGCGCGCUUAACACAUGCAAGUCGAACGGAAAGGCCUGCUUUCCCUUGUGGAUUGCGGGUACUCGCGUGGCGAACGGGUGAGUAACACGUGAGUGAUCUGCCCCCAACUUGGGUAUAAGCCUGGGAAACUGGGUCUAAUUCCCGAUAGGACUGCAGGGUGGUGCCUGUGGUGGAAAACGAUUUUCUUGUGGUUGGGGAUGAGCUCGCGGCCUAUCAGCUUGUUGGUGGGGUAAUGGCCUACCAAGGCGGCGACGGGUAGCCGGCCUGGGAGGGUGGACGGUGACAGUGGGACUGAGAUACGGGCCAGACGCCUACGGGAGGCAGCAGUGGGGAAGAUGGCACGAUGGGCGGAAGCCUGAUGCAGCGACGCCGCGUGGGGGAUGACGGCCUUCGGGUGGUAAACUCCUGUCGGCCGCGAGGAAGCCACCUGGUUGGAGGGGUGGUGACGGUAGUGGUAGAAGAAGCACCGGCUAACUACGUG
rnacentral:rRNA from 1 species